rnacentral:pre_miRNA from 1 species
GUGGGCCCCAAUGGCAUCUGACAGUUGGCAGUUGGACAAGGUUCUGAGCAGGCAAGACCCUUGAACUGUUGAACUUGCUUUUUGGGAUUCGGAC